rnacentral:lncRNA from 1 species
GGUUGGAGCUCUUGGAGGUCCUCAUGGAUUGGCCUUCUUGAGGUUCUCCUGGAGGUCCUCCUUGGUUGGACCUCUUGGAGGUCGUCCUGGAUUGGGCCUCUUGGAGGUCCUCCUUGAUUGACCUCCUCCUUUGGACCUCCUGGAGGUCCUCCUGGAGGUCCUCCCUGAUUGACCUUCUUGAUUGGACCUCGUGGAGGUCAUCUUGGAGGUCCUCCUUGAUUGACCUCCUUAUUUGCACCUCCUGGAGGUCAUCUUGGAGGUCCUCCUUGAUUGGCCUCCUUGAUUGCACCUCCUGGAGGUCCUCCUUGCUUGGACCUCUAUCUUUUGGGCCUCCUGGAGGUCCUCCUUGAUUGGCCUCCUUGAUUGGCCUCCUGGAGGUCCUUUAGGAGGUCACACUGGAUGGGCCUCCCGGAGGUCAUCUUGGAGGUCCUCCUUGAUUGACCUCCUUGAUUGGGCCUCCUGGAGGUCCUCCAUGGUUGGCCUCCUGGAGGUUCUCCUGGAGUUCCUCCUUCAUUGGCCUCUGUGUUUGGGCCUCCUGGAGGUCCUCCUUGAUUGACCUCCUUAUUUGGACCUCCUGGAGGUCCACCUGGAGGUCCUCCUUGAUUGGCCUCCUUUUUUGCACCUCCUGGAGGUCCUCCUGGAGGUCCUCCUUGAUUGACCUCCUUGAUUGCACCUCCUGGAGGUCAUCUUGGAGGUCCUCCUUGAUUGGCCUCCUUGUUUGGGCCUCCUGGAGGUCCUCCAUGGUUGGCCUCCUAGAGGUCCUCCUUGGUUGGCCUCCAUUUUUGGACCUCCUGGAGGUCCUCCUUGAUUGACCUCCUUGUUUGGACCUCCUGGAGGUCAUCUUGGAGGUCCUCCUUGAUUGACCUCCUUAUUUGCACCUCCUGGAGGUCAUCUUGGAGGUCCUCCUUGAUUGACCUCCUUGUUUGGGCCUCCUGGAGGUCCUCCUUGAUUGGCCUCCUUGGUUUGGCCUCCUGGAGGUCCUCCUUGAUUGACCUCCUUAUUUGCAUCUCCUGGAGGUCAUCUUGGAGGUCCUCCUUGAUUGACUUCCUUGGUUUGGCCUCCUGGAGGUGCUUCUGGAGAUCCUCCUUGAUUGUUCUCCUUAUUUGGACCUCCUGGAGGUCCUCCUUGAUUGGCCUCCUUGUUUGGGCCUCCUGGAGGUCCUCUAUGGUUGGCCUGCUGGAGGUCCUCCUUGGUUGGCCUCCAUUUUUGGGCCUCUUGGAGGUCCUCCUUGAUUGGCCUCCUUGGUUUGGCCUCCUGGAGGUCCUCCUUGAUUGACCUCCUUGUUUGGGCCUCCUGGAGGUCCUCCUUGUUUGGCCUCCAUUUUUGGACCUCCUGGAGCUCCUCCUUGAUUGACCUCCUUGACUGGACCUCCUGGAGGUCAUCUCGGAGGUCCUCCUUGAUUGACCUCCUUGUUUGGACCUCCUGGAGGUCAUCUUGGAGGUCCUCCUUGAUUGCGCCUCCUGGAGAUCCUCCUGGAGGUCCUCCUUGGUUGGACCUCUAUCUUUUGGGCCUCCUGGAGGUCCUCCUUGAUUGACCUCCUUGAUUGGGCCUCCUGGAGGUCCUCCUUGAUUGACCUCCUUGAUUGGACCUCCUGGAGGUCCUCCUGGAGGUCCUCCUUGAUUGACCUCCUUGUUUGGACCUCCUGGAGGUC